rnacentral:rRNA from 1 species
UACCGGCGGUCCAAGUCGCAGCCACAAUUAUUGGGUCUAAAACAUCCGUAGCUUGUUGUAUAAGUCUCUUGUGAAAUCUUACAUCUUAAGUGUAAGGCGUGCAAGAGAUACUGUAUGACUAGAGACCGGAAGACGUAGCGAGUACGAUCAAGGUAGUGGUAAAAUACGUUAAUCUUGGUUGGACUAACAAUGGCGAAGGCACGCUACGAGGACGGAUCUGACAGUGAGGGAUGAAGGCCAGGGGC